CCCAUAUCCUGCUCGUGUGCCGCCUCCUGCCGUUAUCCUUGACCUCGUGGAAUUACCCCAGCCACGGAACAACUCUUCUUCUCCGCUCCCCUGUCUCUCCCAAGGCCGACGGGGCGCCGUCGCUCUCCGGCAAGAUGUUUGGGGUGGACUCCGACAGAUCCAGUUCACCUGCUUCACCACGCCGGAGUCUAUGGAAGUCCCUCGGCCUGGAGAGUGCAGGCUGCCAGUUCUGGACACUGGCCCUCUAGCCGUGAUGAGGCCGGUCGAGUAGCAGGCUUCUCUUCGCAUCGCCAAUGGGGAAAUCUGACGUGCCGGGAAACUAGGCGGCGCCAGGCAAAGCGUUAGAUUCCCCCUGAAUUUGACGGGAUUCAGGUGUGAUCUGAAGCUACCAACGGCUGGACUGGAGGUUUGGGAUGGGGGUAGCAGCAGUGAAGCGUGAGGUUGAUCCAAACAGAAAGAGUACUUUGGAAAUAUCAAUUAGGUUAUUUAUAACCAAGCUGGAAGUUUGUUCAUGGCUAAUGGUGUUUGGUGUUUUCGUGGCUAAUGGUGUUUUUUUUUUCUAUUGUUAGAAAAUGCAAAUGAUUUGGUUCUAUUGGAACAUAAAAAAGAUAUGAAGGCAAUUUGUUGAA